UACGUAGGGUGCGAGCGUUGUCCGGAAUUAUUGGGCGUAAAGAGCUCGUAGGCGGUUCGUCGCGUCGAAUGUGAAAACCCGGGGCUCAACUCCGGGCCUGCAUUCGAUACGGGCGGACUAGAGUUCGGUAGGGGAGACUGGAAUUCCUGGUGUAGCGGCGAAAUGCGCAGAUAUCAGGAGGAACACCGGUGGCGAAGGCGGGUCUCUGGGCCGAUACUGACGCUGAGGAGCGAAAGCGUGGGGAGCGAACAGG
rnacentral:rRNA from 1 species